UACAGAGGGUGCGAGCGUUAAUCGGAAUUACUGGGCGUAAAGCGUACGUAGGCGGCCAAGUAAGUCGGAUGUGAAAGCCCUGGGCUUAACCUGGGAACUGCAUUCGAUACUGCCUGGCUAGAGUAUGGGAGAGGGAAGCGGAAUUUCCGGUGUAGCGGUGAAAUGCGUAGAUAUCGGAAGGAACACCAAUGGCGAAGGCAGCUUCCUGGCCCAAUACUGACGCUGAGGUACGAAAGCGUGGGGAGCAAACAGG
rnacentral:rRNA from 1 species